CAUCAAACAAACAGCUUAACAUCAACCCUUAAGAGAGAGAGAGAGAAGGGGUAUAAAAGUGAAAUGAUACUUUUCUUCUCAAGACUUUCCAACACUUCUUUCAUUACAUCCACAUUCUUACGUGGGGCAACACCUUUGUCAUAAAACUCUAGUCGUUCCUCCACAUCAUCCCAUAGAUGCUUUGCCAGCUUCAACGACCUCUUUUGCCUUAUCUUCAUCCCCGAGGAUAUCAGUAAGCAUAGGGAUGUGCUCUUCGGACAACUUUGACUUGUCCUUAAUAACUUUUGAAACUCGGGCGCAAAGGUAGUUGUCGUUGACUAUUUUAACUAGCUCAGGGAAGUGCCACGAGUACAAUUCUCUGCCAAAAAACACAACAUAAGAGCAGCAUUAUCGGGAGCUUUUAAAAGCGUCUCUUAUAUUUAUUAGGAUUUAAAAAAAAUGAAAAAUCUCAAUAAACCUAAAGACGUAUCUUAUUCAGGGACAAGAAGAGACCGUCUCUUGUGAUUCUUCUUCCUCCCUCUUCACCUUCUCCAGAACUUCAUCUCACUUCUCCUCUAGAUUCAAACCUUCUCGAAACCGCAGCAGAGGCCGAGCAAAAGGUCUGUUCCUACUGAUUUCAUUGUGAUCGUGUUAAAAUAAUCUGCCGCCGCCGUCCUUGGUCUCCAAAGCUAGAACCGCCUUCAAUUCCGCUGCUGCUAAAGCGGAGCGCGUCUUCACUGAUCUCAAAUCCGAUCCAGAAUCGUCGAAGAGGAGGAGGAGCAGCAGCAAUCAACUAGGAAAGCAAAGCAAGAAUUUCAGGCUGGGAAGCCUCUUGGUUACAAAGAAUGUCAGUUUCACAGUCAUCAAGGACUUCAUGAUUCAAAGUGGUGAUUUUCUUAAGCAUUUGAACAACUCAUGGCUCCCUCUCACAAUAUUCCACUUCGUAGUCUCACCUCCACUGAUGAAUCCAAACUUGACUUCAAUGCUCUGUCUUUGAGCAUUUCCUUCCAUGGGUGGAGAGAGGCGAACUCAGCUUUCAAGUCUUGGGCUAUAAAAAUGUCAUCUUUACACAGACCCACAUGGAGAAAAGCUGAGAUCUUCGAAGCAGUCAUGGCAUCUACCAAAGGACUCAACAAAGACACAAAGAAACCAAGAGCUACUGGUUAGUUCAAUAUCAUUGAUCAAUUUGAAGUUUUUUUAUUGUGCAUUAUGGUAAAGUUUGUUGUAAUGAAAGUGUUUUAUAAUUUUUUUUUAAGAUCCCAUAAUUAAGAAACUUGCAAUAAACCACUUAAAUGUUCAAAUCUCUUUCUAAGUCU